rnacentral:rRNA from 1 species
UACAGAGGGGGCAAGCGUUGUUCGGAAUUACUGGGCGUAAAGGGCGCGUAGGCGGCCUGUUAAGUCGGACGUGAAAUCCCCGGGCUCAACCCGGGAACUGCGUCCGAUACUGGCAGGCUUGAAUCCGGGAGAGGGAUGUGGAAUUCCAGGUGUAGCGGUGAAAUGCGUAGAUAUCAGGAGGAACACCUGUGGCGAAAGCGGCUCACUGGACCAUAACUGACGCUGAUGCACGAAAGCUAGGGGAGCAAACAGG